AGCUCUGGUGAUCCUGUUUUUUGUGGCUGAUGACAGUGCGGUGUCUAGAUUUGUCAACACCAUACAAUUAGCACUGAAAAUGCAAGUUUUAAUCAUAACUUGACAAAAUAGUUGUUACACAAAAAAUCUUGUUCGGAGUUGAUUUCUACUUUUGCCUACCAAGUACUCCUAAAUCAAAUUAGGAAUAAAUGCCAUAUACUGUAUUGUAUGACACCAUCACUUUAAUUUGAUUUGUUGUGUGUUUCAUAGACUGUGGCUUGCAAAUAUUGGCCAUACUUGAAGAAAGUUGCUAGUGUCCUUCCUGAUCUUCAGGAGCUGACCUCAAUGAAACCUUUCCUUAAUGUCAUGCAUGCUUGAGCCACGCUACAACGUGUGAGAUUAAAUGAAGUGGUAGGAACCAGGAAGGAACAGGGACAACCACCGCACAGGUGGACAUGCUUACAUUGCAUGCAAUGGGCUGGAACCAUAAAAAAGUAUCUCUCUACAUCAGGCACUUUCCACAAUAUAUGUGAAAACAUCCAGCACGAGACUGCAAGGCUGGCAGAACUAAAAACAAAGCUACAUUGCAAAGAUGAAGUGGCGUCACAAUGGCUUUCUGAUGUGAAUGAAUGGGCAGCUGGUG